AGGUACAUAAUAUUAUGUAUUUUUAACGAGUUAAUAUGUGUUCCCGUUUUAAAUAUACAGAGCGAUACAUUCAUCACAAUGCCGCGGUUUUUUUCUGCAGGAUUUUCAGGCGAAUCCGAUUCGUGUUUUUAUACGGUUCUGGACGAAACGAGGAACGCGCCGUGAUGAUUUUUCUUUUUCCGCGACUGUAAAUCACAGACAUUUUGCUCCAAUCAAAAAUCUAAUAAUACGGACUCUCUUGCGUACAGCGUUGUUGAUCUAGUCGAUCUCAAUUGAUAGCGAA